GGCUCUAGCUCAGUGGAUAGAGCACUGGUCUCGUAAACCAGGGGUCGUAAGUUCAAAUCUCACCAGAGCCU